UACGUAGGGUGCAAGCGUUGUCCGGAAUUAUUGGGCGUAAAGAGCUCGUAGGCGGUUUGUCGCGUCUGCUGUGAAAACUCGGGGCUUAACUCCGGGCCUGCAGUGGGUACGGGCAGACUAGAGUGCGGUAGGGGAGACUGGAAUUCCUGGUGUAGCGGUGAAAUGCGCAGAUAUCAGGAGGAACACCGGUGGCGAAGGCGGGUCUCUGGGCCGUAACUGACGCUGCGGAGCGAAAGCGUGGGGAGCGAACAGG
rnacentral:rRNA from 1 species